UACGAAGGGGGCAAGCGUUGUUCGGAAUUACUGGGCGUAAAGGGCGCGUAGGCGGCCGAUCAAGUCAGGCGUGAAAUUCCCGGGCUCAACCUGGGGGCUGCGCUUGAUACUGAUUGGCUUGAAUGCGGGAGAGGUGAGUGGAACUCCGAGUGUAGAGGUGAAAUUCGUAGAUAUUCGGAAGAACACCAGUGGCGAAGGCGGCUCACUGGCCCGGUACUGACGCUGAGGUGCGAAAGCGUGGGGAGCAAACAGG
rnacentral:rRNA from 1 species